rnacentral:rRNA from 1 species
UGAGGAAUAUUGGUCAAUGGACGCAAGUCUGAACCAGCCAAAUCGCGUGAAGGAUGACUGCCCUACGGGUUGUAAACUUCUUUUAUAAGGGAAUAAAAAAGACUACGUGUAGUUUAUUGCAUGUACCUUAUGAAUAAGCAUCGGCUAACUCCGUGCCAGCAGCCGCGGUAAUACGGAGGAUGCGAGCGUUAUCCGGAUUUAUUGGGUUUAAAGGGUGCGCAGGCGGAUUUUUAAGUCAGCGGUGAAAUCUUGAGGCUCAACCUCAAACCUGCCGUUGAAACUGUUAAUCUUGAGUAUGGAUGAAGUAGGCGGAAUUCGUUGUGUAGCGGUGAAAUGCUUAGAUAUAACGAGGAACCCCGAUUGCGUAGGCAGCUUACUAAACCAUAACUGACGCUCAUGCACGAAAGUGUGGGUAUCCAACA